rnacentral:misc_RNA from 1 species
CGCUCGAACAUCUCGCCUUCCUAAUAUCGCCGACGCUAUUCAAGUCUAGCAGAGUGUUUAGACAAAAGAUUUAUUUGUUCGCGCGCAUACGCACGCGUGUCGCGAUAGGAUCUGUAACGGCACAUGAGUAAAGGACAAUUCAAAUCAUGUUGUUGUUUUGCCUCGGACUAUCAAGAUCGUUAGGAUACACGUAAUGUAAUAAUAAAUAAACUCCGGGCAAAAUAAUGUCGCCGUUACGUGCAACCGUCGAACAAAGACAAAUUUAAAUUUUCCGGCUCUCCCCCAACUGGUAUAAAUAAACGGACGCGAUCGCGAGCGAAUCAGUGUAUACCGAGCAUCUACAAAUUGUCGAUCAUUAUGUGCGAGUUAUCAGCGAACACUUAUACAAUGUCUUGGCGAAUACGUUUGUGCAAGCUCCUCUACAAGUGCUCUACAUUGUGAACCGGAGUAAGAGAAAACGUUUACAACCGGCCGGAAGCUGUAAGAUUAAUACAAGAAACAUUUUUGCCAAAAAAACCAGCCUAUCAGAUAUACACCGAAGUAUUCAACAAGACGCGUAUAUUCCAACUGAUAUAUUUAUCAGACAACAGAAAAAGCGCUUCUGGUCGAGCUUCUUCGACCUCAUCCCAAGGAUGUACAGGUGAACACGAUUUACUCGUAAUUGAAGUCGCAG